GACGAACGCUGGCGGCGUGCUUAACACAUGCAAGUCGAACGGAAAGGCCCUGCUUUUGUGGGGUGCUCGAGUGGCGAACGGGUGAGUAACACGUGAGUAACCUGCCCUUGACUUUGGGAUAACUUCAGGAAACUGGGGCUAAUACCGGAUAGGAGCUCCUGUUGCAUGGUGGGGGGUGGAAAGUUUCGGCGGUUGGGGAUGGACUCGCGGCUUAUCACCUUGUUGGUCGGGUAGUUGCUUACCAAGGCUUUGGCUGUUAACCUGCAUGGGUGGUUGAACGGGCUCCAUGGGACUAGGAUACGGCCCAGUCUCCUACGGGGGGCAGUAGUGGGGAAUAUUGCACAAUGGUCCGAAGCCUGGUGCCAUAACGCCGCGUUCGGGAUGACGGCCUUCGGGUUGUAAACAGCUUUCGCCUGAGACGAAGCUUGAGUGACGGUAAUGGGUAAAGAAGCACCGGCUAACUACGUG
rnacentral:rRNA from 1 species